rnacentral:rRNA from 1 species
GACGAACCGAGCGAACGUUGUUCGGAAUCACUGGGCUUAAAGGGCGCGUAGGCGGGGUCGUCAGUCUGUGGUGAAAUCCUCCGGCUCAACCGGAGAACUGCCUCGGAUACUGCGACUCUCGAGGGUGAUAGGGGUAUGCGGAACUAUCGGUGGAGCGGUGAAAUGCGUUGAUAUCGAUAGGAACUCCGGUGGCGAAGGCGGCAUACUGGAUCACUUCUGACGCUGAGGCGCGAAAGCGUGGGGAGCAAACAGG